rnacentral:rRNA from 1 species
UGAUAAGUCUCUGGGGAAAUCUUUUGGCUCAACCGUGAGGAUUCUCGGGGAUACUGUUGAGCUUGGGGCCGGGAGAGGUGGGAGGUACUUCGGGGGUAGGGGUGAAAUCUUGUAAUCCUGGGAGGACCACC